rnacentral:rRNA from 1 species
UACGUAGGGGGCUAGCGUUGUCCGGAAUCAUUGGGCGUAAAGCGCGCGUAGGCGGCCCGAUAAGUCUGCUGUGAAAGUCCAGGGCUCAACCCUGGAAUGCCGGUGGAUACUGUCGGGCUAGAGUUCGGAAGAGGCAAGUGGAAUUCCUGGUGUAGCGGUGGAAUGCGCAGAUAUCAGGAGGAACACCGAUGGCGAAGGCAGAUCUCUGGGCCGUAACUGACGCUGAGGAGCGAAAGCGUGGGGAGCGAACAGG